GGAAAUCUCACCAGGCCCGGACACUGGAAGGAUUGACAGAUUGAUAGCUCUUUCUUGAUUCAGUGGGUGGUGGUGCAUGGCUGUUCUUAGUUGGUUGAGUGAUUUGUCUGGUUAAUUCCGUUAACGAACGAGACCUUAACCUGCUAAAUAGUGACGCGGUUCAUCGAACCGUGGGCCACUUCUUAGAGGGACUAUCGGAUUCAAACCGAUGGAAGUGUGAGGCAAUAA
rnacentral:rRNA from 1 species